CUGAGGUCUAGUAGUGUCUCUCUUCUCUCUCUCUCUGCUAAGGCAUGGGUAUGAGUUUGUUCUUAGGGUUUAGUUUUUUUCCAUCUUCAAGCUUUGGCUAAACUUUCAAGUUUGUUUUGAUAGGGGCCGGGAGGGCAGCAAGCUAUGGCUUUGAAGAGCAGUAACAACAUCCAGAUUUUUCUGGAUUCGGUUAGGGUUUUGGUUUUUCCAAUUUUAGGUUUGGUUUUCUUAGAAUGCGUUUGACGAGCAAUAACAACAUCCAUAUUUUUCUGAAUUCGGUUGCGGUUUUGUUUUUUUUACAAUUUUAGGUUUGUUUUUCUUAGAAUGCGUCGAAUUGAAACAAUCCGGAGUCGAGUUCGUACUCUCCGUUCGUCGGUCUAGAUUUCGAUUUCCCUCCUUUCUGUUCGGAAAAUUGUCUGCCAAAAUCCGGUUAGGUUUUGGUUUUCCUUCCCUGUUUGCAAAAUCAUCGUGUUCUUUUGAGGUGGGUUCGGUUUUUAUUUUUCAAUCAUCUCCUUGUAAAAUCGUCCUGUUUUUUUUCUUAAUUAAACUGCCAAAUAACCGAUUAUCGUGUUGAAUGGACUGUUUUUCUUGUCUCAUGUGGUUCAUGUAAGCUAGUUUAUACUUGAAAAGUUUUUCAUCGAUAUUGGAGUUUUAUUGCUAGUUUGUCGUUUGAUCUCUCAUGUUAUUUAGUAUUUUCUGUUGUGAUUUUUCUUAAUGUGCCGCCACAUUCUUGAAAUGUUGCUGGAGAUCUUAGUCCUUACAUGAGCAUUCUCUCCUUUAUGCUGUAGUCUUUCACAUCGAUAUGCUGAAUGCUUCAUAUUUUGAACACUAUAUCUGCUACAUUAAGGACUUCUCUGGAAAUUGGUACAGGAUUGAUGAUCGUAAGGUUGGUCCCUUUCUCUCCUCCCACUGUUGCGUACACAGACACAACAAAUGCUUCCUGCGCUUAUUAUGGUUGUUUUCGAUACUGCUACUGGAUAAUGUUGGCAUUGAUAUUUGUGAGGUCCAUAUAGGUAAAGUUUUUUUUUUGUAUGGUUGACGUUAAAGCUGAAGCUUAUUCUGAGGUAAUGCACGAGCUCCGAUAGUAGUUCUUUUGUAUCAUUUAACAUCUCAUUGGAGUAUAUUAUUUGUGUUCUCCAAGACUAACGUAUUUUCACUUUCUUGGCUGCCACUUUCCUUCAGGUUGUUAAAGUUGAUUUGGAAGAGGUGCUAUCUCAGGGAUAGUACAUGAUUUUGUACUCCAGUAUGAGCGUUCAAGAGUUUGAAGAUUAGCGGGAGAUGAUCUUCAACUUUCUAUUAUGUUCAGAUUAUUUGGGUAAGAUAUGAUUUCCUCAUGUGAAAAAUUUCUACCAUUCUAUUUGGGUUCUUGAAAUUGACAGAGUACUUUAGGUUCAUAUCAUUUGGUAAAAUAUGAUUUUGCUGAUUUUUACCAUUCUAUUUGGUUUCUCAAAAUGUAUGAGUAUUCUAGGUUUUGAAGAUUUAUGAGUUACUUUAUCUCUUGUUUAAAAUUUCUAACAAAGCACUUAAUUUUGAUGUCAAAUAGUAUGAGUGUUCUAGAGUUUGAAGAUUAGCGGGAGAUGAUCUUCAAAUUCCUAGUAUGUUCAUAUUAUUUGAGUUACUUUAUCAUCUUUAAAAUUUCUAACAAAACACUUAAGUUUGAUGUCAAAUAGUAUGAGUGUUCUAGAGUUUGAAGAUUAGCGGGAGAUGAUCUUCAAAUUCCUAGUAUGUUCAUAUUAUUUGGGUAAGAUAUGAUUUUC